rnacentral:rRNA from 1 species
GAUGAACGCUGGCGGCGUGCCUAAUACAUGCAAGUCGAGCGAACAGAUGAGGAGCUUGCUCCUCUGACGUUAGCGGCGGACGGGUGAGUAACACGUGGAUAACCUACCUAUAAGACUGGGAUAACUUCGGGAAACCGGAGCUAAUACCGGAUAAUAUAUUGAACCGCAUGGUUCAAUAGUGAAAGACGGUUUUGCUGUCACUUAUAGAUGGAUCCGCGCCGCAUUAGCUAGUUGGUAAGGUAACGGCUUACCAAGGCAACGAUGCGUAGCCGACCUGAGAGGGUGAUUGGCCACACUGGAACUGAGACACGGUCCAGACUCCUACGGGAGGCAGCAGUAGGGAAUCUUCCGCAAUGGGCGAAAGCCUGACGGAGCAACGCCGCGUGAGUGAUGAAGGUCUUCGGAUCGUAAAACUCUGUUAUUAGGGAAGAACAAAUGUGUAAGUGACUAUGCACGUCUUGACGGUACCUAAUCAGAAAGCCACGGCUAACUACGUG